rnacentral:rRNA from 1 species
ACGCACGCUGGCGGCGUGCUUAACACAUGCAAGUCGAACGGAAAGGCCCUGCUUUUGUGGGGUGCUCGAGUGGCGAACGGGUGAGUAACACGUGAGUAACCUGCCCUUGACUUUGGGAUAACUUCAGGAAACUGGGGCUAAUACCGGAUAGGAGCUCCUGCUGCAUGGUGGGGGUUGGAAAGUUUCGGCGGUUGGGGAUGGACUCGCGGCUUAUCAGCUUGUUGGUGGGGUAGUGGCUUACCAAGGCUUUGACGGGUAGCCGGCCUGAGAGGGUGACCGGCCACAUUGGGACUGAGAUACGGCCCAGACUCCUACGGGAGGCAGCAGUGGGGAAUAUUGCACAAUGGGCGGAAGCCUGAUGCAGCAACGCCGCGUGCGGGAUGACGGCCUUCGGGUUGUAAACCGCUUUCGCCUGCGACGAAGCGUGAGUGACGGUAAUGGGUAAAGAAGCACCGGCUAACUACGUG